rnacentral:ncRNA from 3 species
AAAAGUGCUUAUAGUGCAGGUAGU